GAUGAACGCUGGCGGCGUGCCUAAUACAUGCAAGUCGAGCGAGGCGGGGACGGGUGAGUAACACGUGGAUAACCUCCUAUAGGACUUGGAUAACGUCGGGAAACCGGAGCCAAACAGGAUACUCAUAGAUGGUUCCGGGCUGCAUUAGCUAGUGGGUAAGGUAACGGCUUACCACGGCAACGAUGCAUAGCCGACCUGAGAGGGUGACCGGCCACACUGGGACUGAGACACGGGACAGGCUCCUACGGGAGGCAGCAGUAGGGAAUCUUCGGCAAUAGGAGAAAGCCUGAGAGAGCAAUGCCGCGUGUGUGAUGAAGGUCGUCGGAUUGUAAACCUCUGUUAGUAGAUAACCGGUACCUGAUCAGAAAGCUACGGCUAACUACGUGCCAGCAGCCGCGGUAAUAC
rnacentral:rRNA from 1 species